GAUGAACGCUGGCGGCGUGCCUAAUACAUGCAAGUCGAGCGAACAGACGAGGAGCUUGCUCCUCUGACGUUAGCCGCGGACGUGUGAGUAACACGUGGAUAACCUACCUAUAAGACUGGGAUAACUUCGGGAAACCGGAGCUAAUACCGGAUAAUAUAUUGAACCGCAGGGUUCAAUAGUGAAAGACGGUGUUGCUGUCACUUAUAGAUGGAUCCGCGCCGGAUUAGCUAGUUGGUAAGGUAACGGCUUACCAAGGCAACGAUGCGUAGCCGACCUGAGAGGGUGAUCGGCCACACUGGAACUGAGACACGGUCCAGACUCCUACGGGAGGCAGCAGUAGGGAAUCUUACGCAAUGGGCGAAAGCUUGACGGAGCAACGCCGCGUGAGUGAUAAAGGUCUUCGGAUCGUAAAACUCUGUUACUAGGGAAGAACAAAUGUGUAAGUAACUAUGCACGUCUUGACGGUACCUAAUCAGAAAGCCACGGCUAACUACGUG
rnacentral:rRNA from 1 species